AAAAGCAAGUUCAGCGUUUCCUUCAAGCAGCACCGUGGAUGGCUUCCUGCCAGAACCUUUAGAGCAAGCAACCCACACCCAUGGCCCAGGGUGUCUUCCCCAAGAGGGGACGAUCUGUCUGCCCCUCACUAUGUUCUCCAAAUAGAAAUAAGGUCUCACGAUGUUACCCUGGCUGGUCUCGAACUCCUGUGUUCAAGUGAUCCGCCUGCCUGGGCCUCCCAAAGGGGAGGUGGGGUUACAGCCUUCUCCACGCCACAGUGAGGGAGUUGAGUCAGCACCGGCACCCAGGGCACACGCCCUCAGGGGAUCCGGCCCCUCUCUGUGUUCCCCUCUCUGCAUUUGAGGGACUUGGCCUGCAGUCAGGGAGCCAAGAAGUCCCUGACAAUCAAGGAGGGAGUGCGAGCUGGUGGGGGAGGCUGCCUUAGGGUACGGGAGCUAAUAGACCAGGCUCGGGGGUUCUGCUCCUGACUUCUAGAUUGUUCCACCUCCGUAUGAAAUAUGUUCCUUCCAUCUAACACUUGUGAUUUGGCCACCAUCCAACUCAAAUGAAAGAAGCCAAGCCAUGCAAUGAGCUGCCCCCUCCCUGGCGUGGGGUGCCCCCUGCCCCCCACCCAGCUCCCCUGCCCUCCCAGCCGAGGGAGGAUCGCCUCCUGGUGAUCUCAGCCUCCCCUCCGAGUGGGCUGUGAAGUGUCUAAUCCAGGCUUUCAUCUGGCAUCCACAAUUAUAAUGUCAAGAUUGAAUAAUCUGCCUUUAUCUCCCGGGUGACAGCCAUGUAGAAACUUCAAAAGAAACAGUUUUGCUGGCAUCUAACAGCUUUUGUUAAUUACUAUAUCCCAAAGAAAAUGAAAUAAAGGAGGGAGAAAAAUGAUA